rnacentral:rRNA from 1 species
AUUGAACGCUGGCGGAAUGCUUUACACAUGCAAGUCGAACGGUAGAGGGGGCAACCCCUUGAGAGUGGCGAACGGGUGAGUAAUAUAUCGGAACGUGCCCAGUCGUGGGGAUAACGUAGCGAAAGCUACGCUAAUACCGCAUACGAUCUAUGGAUGAAAGCGGGGGAUCGCAAGACCUCGCGCGAUUGGAGCGGCCGAUAUCAGAUUAGGUAGUUGGUGAGGUAAAGGCUCACCAAGCCGACGAUCUGUAGCUGGUCUGAGAGGACGACCAGCCACACUGGGACUGAGACACGGCCCAGACUCCUACGGGAGGCAGCAGUGGGGAAUUUUUGGGACAAUGGGCGCAAGCCUGAUCCAGCAAUGCCGCGUGCAGGAUGAAGGCCUUC